GGGUUGUGAGGUUAAGCGACUAAGCGUACACGGUGGAUGCCCUGGCAGUCAGAGGCGAUGAAGGACGUGCUAAUCUGCGAUAAGCGCCGGUAAGGUGAUAUGAACCGUUAUAACCGGCGAUUUCCGAAUGGGGAAACCCAGUGUGACUCGUCACACUAUCAUUAACUGAAUCCAUAGGUUAAUGAGGCGAACCGGGGGAACUGAAACAUCUAAGUACCCCGAGGAAAAGAAAUCAACCGAGAUUCCCCCAGUAGCGGCGAGCGAACGGGGAGGAGCCCAGAGCCUGAAUCAGCAUGUGUGUUAGUGGAAGCGUCUGGAAAGGCGCGCGAUACAGGGUGACAGCCCCGUACACAAAAGCGCAUGUGCUGUGAGCUCGAUGAGUAGGGCGGGACACGUGGUAUCCUGUCUGAAUAUGGGGGGACCAUCCUCCAAGGCUAAAUACUCCUGACUGACCGAUAGUGAACCAGUACCGUGAGGGAAAGGCGAAAAGAACCCCGGCGAGGGGAGUGAAAAAGAACCUGAAACCGUGUACGUACAAGCAGUGGGAGCCCCACCACCAAAGCAUUCUCUGGUGUUGAAGGCCCUGCAAAGCAGCAUCGCGGUGGCGGAGCGUCGUUUGCGACGCCCAACACACAAAACAAGCGGUGAGUGCUUUGGGGUGGGGUGACUGCGUACCUUUUGUAUAAUGGGUCAGCGACUUAUAUUCUGUAGCAAGGUUAACCGAAUAGGGGAGCCGGAGGGAAACCGAGUCUUAAUUGGGCGUUAAGUUGCAGGGUAUAGACCCGAAACCCGGUGAUCUAGCCAUGGGCAGGUUGAAGGUUGGGUAACACUAACUGGAGGACCGAACCGACUAAUGUUGAAAAAUUAGCGGAUGACCUGUGGCUGGGGGUGAAAGGCCAAUCAAACCGGGAGAUAGCUGGUUCUCCCCGAAAGCUAUUUAGGUAGCGCCUCGUGAAUUCAUCUCCGGGGGUAGAGCACUGUUUCGGCUAGGGGGCCAUCCCGGCUUACCAACCCGAUGCAAACUGCGAAUACCGGAGAAUGUUAUCACGGGAGACACACGGCGGGUGCUAACGUCCGUCGUGAAGAGGGAAACAACCCAGACCGCCAGCUAAGGUCCCAAAGUCAUGGUUAAGUGGGAAACGAUGUGGGAAGGCCCAGACAGCCAGGAUGUUGGCUUAGAAGCAGCCAUCAUUUAAAGAAAGCGUAAUAGCUCACUGGUCGAGUCGGCCUGCGCGGAAGAUGUAACGGGGCUAAACCAUGCACCGAAGCUGCGGCAGCGACACUGUGUGUUGUUGGGUAGGGGAGCGUUCUGUAAGCCUGCGAAGGUGUCCCGUGAGGGAUGCUGGAGGUAUCAGAAGUGCGAAUGCUGACAUAAGUAACGAUAAAGCGGGUGAAAAGCCCGCUCGCCGGAAGACCAAGGGUUCCUGUCCAACGUUAAUCGGGGCAGGGUGAGUCG
rnacentral:rRNA from 1 species